GAUGAACGCUAGCGGGAGGCCUAACACAUGCAAGCCGAGCGGUAUUGUUUCUUCGGAAAUGAGAGAGCGGCGUACGGGUGCGGAACACGUGUGCAACCUGCCUUUAUCUGGGGGAUAGCCUUUCGAAAGGAAGAUUAAUACUCCAUAACAUAUUGAUUGGCAUCAAUUAAUAUUGAAAGCUCCGGCGGAUAGAGAUGGGCACGCGCAAGAUUAGCUAGUUGGUGAGGUAACGGCUCACCAAGGCGAUGAUCUUUAGGGGGCCUGAGAGGGUGAUCCCCCACACUGGUACUGAGACACGGACCAGACUCCUACGGGAGGCAGCAGUGAGGAAUAUUGGUCAAUGGGUGCAAGCCUGAACCAGCCAUCCCGCGUGAAGGACGACUGCCCUAUGGGUUGUAAACUUCUUUUGUAUAGGGAUAAACCUACCCUCGUGAGGGUAGCUGAAGGUACUAUACGAAUAAGCACCGGCUAACUCCGUGCCAGCAGCCGCGGUAAUACGGAGGGCGCAAGCGUUAUCCGGAUUUAUUGGGUUUAAAGGGUCCGUAGGCGGACUUAUAAGUCAGUGGUGAAAGCCUGUCGCUUAACGAUAGAACUGCCAUUGAUACUGUAAGUCUUGAGUAUAUUUGAGGUAGCUGGAAUAAGUAGUGUAGCGGUGAAAUGCAUAGAUAUUACUUAGAACACCAAUUGCGAAGGCAGGUUACCAAGAUAUAACUGACGCUGAGGGACGAAAGCGUGGGGAGCGAACAGGAUUAGAUACCCUGGUAGUCCACGCCGUAAACGAUGCUAACUCGUUUUUGGGCUUUAGGGUUCAGAGACCAAGCGAAAGUGAUAAGUUAGCCACCUGGGGAGUACGCUCGCAAGAGUGAAACUCAAAGGAAUUGACGGGGGCCCGCACAAGCGGUGGAUUAUGUGGUUUAAUUCGAUGAUACGCGAGGAACCUUACCAAGACUUAAAUGGGAAUUGACAGCUUUAGAAAUAGAGCUUUCUUCGGACAAUUUUCAAGGUGCUGCAUGGUUGUCGUCAGCUCGUGCCGUGAGGUGUUAGGUUAAGUCCUGCAACGAGCGCAACCCCUGUCACUAGUUGCCAUCAUUCAGUUGGGGACUCUAGUGAGACUGCCUACGCAAGUAGAGAGGAAGGUGGGGAUGACGUCAAAUCAUCACGGCCCUUACGUCUUGGGCCACACACGUAAUACAAUGGCCGGUACAGAGGGCAGCUACACAGCGAUGUGAUGCAAAUCUCAAAAGCCGGUCUCAGUUCGGAUUGGAGUCUGCAACUCGACUCUAUGAAGCUGGAAUCGCUAGUAAUCGCGCAUCAGCCAUGGCGCGGUGAAUACGUUCCCGGGCCU
rnacentral:rRNA from 1 species